UACAGAGGUCUCAAGCGUUGUUCGGAUUCAUUGGGCGUAAAGGGUGCGUAGGUGGUGCUGUAAGUCAGGUGUGAAAUCUCGGGGCUCAACCCCGAAACUGCACUUGAUACUGCAGUGCUCGAGGACUGGAGAGGAGAUUGGAAUUCAUGGUGUAGCAGUGAAAUGCGUAGAUAUCAUGAGGAAGACCAGUGGCGAAGGCGGGUCUCUGGACAGUUCCUGACGCUGAGGCGCGAAGGCCAGGGGAGCAAACGGG
rnacentral:rRNA from 1 species